rnacentral:rRNA from 1 species
UACGUAGGCAGCGAGCGUUGUUCGGAGUUACUGGGCGUAAAGAGUGCGUAGGCGGUUUUCUAAGUUUGGUGCGAAAUCUCCCGGCUCAACUGGGAGGGUGCGCCGAAGACUGGAAGGCUUGAGUAUGGGAGAGGUAAGCGGAAUUCCUGGUGUAGCGGUGAAAUGCGUAGAUAUCAGGAGGAACACCAAUGGCGAAGGCAGCUCGCUGGGACGUGACUGACGCUGAGACGCGAAAGCGUGGGGAGCAAACAGG